rnacentral:rRNA from 1 species
UAGGGAAUAUUGGACAAUGGGUGCAAGCCUGAUCCAGCCAUGCCGCGUGCAGGAAGAAGGCUUUCUGAGUUGUAAACUGCUUUUGCCAGGGGAUAAAAUACGCAUGCGUGCGGAAUUGAAGGUACCUGGUGAAUAAGCCACGGCUAACUACGUGCCAGCAGCCGCGGUAAUACGUAGGUGGCAAGCGUUGUCCGGAUUUAUUGGGUUUAAAGGGUGCGUAGGCGGUUCUCUAAGUCAGUGGUGAAAUACGGCAGCUCAACUGUCGAGGUGCCAUUGAUACUGGAGGACUUGAGUACUGAUGAGGUAGGCGGAAUGGACGGUGUAGCGGUGAAAUGCUUAGAUAUCGUCCAGAACACCGAUAGCGAAGGCAGCUUACUAAGGAGUAACUGACGCUGAGGCACGAAAGUGUGGGGAUCAAACAG